rnacentral:rRNA from 1 species
AACGAACGCUGGCGGCAUGCCUAACACAUGCAAGUCGAACGAGACCUUCGGGUCUAGUGGCGCACGGGUGCGUAACGCGUGGGAACCUGCCCUUAGGUUCGGAAUAACUCCCCGAAAGGGGUGCUAAUACCGGAUAAUGUCUUCGGACCAAAGAUUUAUCGCCUUUGGAUGGGCCCGCGUUGGAUUAGCGAGUUGGUAGGGGAAAAGCAUGCCAAGGCGACGAUCCAUAGCUGGUCUGAGAGGAUGAUCAGCCACACUGGGACUGAGACACGGCCCAGACUCCUACGGGAAGCAGCAGUGGGGAAUAUUGGACAAUGGGCGAAAGCCUGAUCCAGCAAUGCCGGGUGAGUGAUGAAGGCCUUAGGGUUGUAAAGCUCUUUUACCCGGGAUGAUAAUGACAGUACCGGGAGAAUAAGCUCCGGCUAACUCCGUG